rnacentral:tRNA from 1 species
GACUUUGUAGCUUAACGGUCAGAGCGCACCUUUCUACUGAUAUCUCGUUUCUGGUGAAGUCCGAGGUUCGAAUCCCGGCAAGUCCA